rnacentral:rRNA from 1 species
UGGGGAAUUUUGGACAAUGGGCGAAAGCCUGAUCCAGCAAUGCCGCGUGUGUGAAGAAGGCCUUCGGGUUGUAAAGCACUUUUGUCCGGAAAGAAAUGGCUCUGGUUAAUACCUGGGGUCGAUGACGGUACCGGAAGAAUAAGGACCGGCUAACUACGUGCCAGCAGCCGCGGUAAUACGUAGGGUCCAAGCGUUAAUCGGAAUUACUGGGCGUAAAGCGUGCGCAGGCGGUUGUGCAAGACCGAUGUGAAAUCCCCGAGCUUAACUUGGGAAUUGCAUUGGUGACUGCACGGCUAGAGUGUGUCAGAGGGGGGUAGAAUUCCACGUGUAGCAGUGAAAUGCGUAGAGAUGUGGAGGAAUACCGAUGGCGAAGGCAGCCCCCUGGGAUAACACUGACGCCCAUGCACGAAAGCGUGGGGAGCAAACAGG